rnacentral:snRNA from 1 species
AUCGCUUCUCGGCCUUUUGGCUGAGAUCAAGUGUAGUAUCUGUUCUUAUCAGUUUAAUUCUGAUACGUCCUCGAUGAGAGGACUUUAUAUUAAACGGACUUUUGGAUCUGGGUUAAUUUUU